AUACUAUGUAGUUGUGCAUAUCGACGGGAAAUUGCGAUUCAAUUUUUUUUCUAGGAGUUACGCCCCUUUGAACUUAUUUACUUUAAUGUACUACUGCAACAGUUUGUCAUCGCAAAUUCUCUCAAACCACAAAACAGAAUUUCACGAAACUUUGUAGAUAAUAAGGACAUACUAUGUAGAUGUGCAUAUCAACAGGAAAUUACGGUUCAAUUUUUUUUCUAGGAGUUAAGCCCCUUUGAACUUAUUUACUUCAAUGUACUUCUGCAACAGUUUGUCAUCUCAACUCCUCUGAAAACACACAACAGAAUUUCAUGAAAUUUUGUAGAUAAUAAGGACAUACUAUGUAUAUUGACAGGA
rnacentral:lncRNA from 1 species